GAUGAACGCUGGCGGCGUGCCUAAUACAUGCAAGUCGAGCGAAUGGAUUAAGAGCUUGCUCUUAUGAAGUUAGCGGCGGACGGGUGAGUAACACGUGGGUAACCUGCCCAUAAGACUGGGAUAACUCCGGGAAACCGGGGCUAAUACCGGAUAACAUUUUGAACCGCAUGGUUCGAAAUUGAAAGGCGGCUUCGGCUGUCACUUAUGGAUGGACCCGCGUCGCAUUAGCUAGUUGGUGAGGUAACGGCUCACCAAGGCAACGAUGCGUAGCCGACCUGAGAGGGGGAGCGGCCACACUGGGACUGAGCAACGACCCAGACUCCUACGGGAGGCAGCAGUAGGGAAUCUUCCGCAAUGGACGAAAGUCUGACGGAGCAACGGCGCGUGAUUGAUGAAGGCUUUCGGGUCGUAAAACUCUGUUGUUAGGGAAGAACAAGUGCUAGUUGAAUAAGCUGGCACCUUGACGGUACCUAACCAGAAAGCCACGGCUAACUACGUGCCAGCCGCCGCCGUAA
rnacentral:rRNA from 1 species